rnacentral:tRNA from 1 species
GAGGGUACAGCUCAGGGGUAGAGCACAUGCUUAGCAUGCACAAAGUCCUGGGUUCAAUCCCCAGUAUCUCCU